ensembl:snoRNA Gm22944 small nucleolar RNA SNORA38
ACCAAAUUGAAAAACAUCUUUGGUUCCCUGUCCUUGGACACAUAAGAAUUGGAGGCAAAGAAAUGUGUUAGAUUUGGAAAGAUUUGGGACCAGCUUGUUCACCACAGGCUUGGGAUCAACCAUCCCUCAGAC